AGAGUUUGAUCAUGGCUCAGAACGAACGCUGGCGGCAGGCUUAACACAUGCAAGUCGAACGCAUCCUUCGGGGUGAGUGGCAGACGGGUGAGUAACGCGUGGGAACGUGCCCUUCAGUUCGGGAUAACCCAGGGAAACUUGGGCUAAUACCGGAUACGUGCGAGAGCAGAAAGAUUGAUCGCUGAAGGAUCGGCCCGCGUCUGAUUAGCUAGUUGGUGGGGUAAUGGCCCACCAAGGCGACGAUCAGUAGCUGGUCUGAGAGGAUGAUCAGCCACAUUGGGACUGAGACACGGCCCAAACUCCUACGGGAGGCAGCAGUGGGGAAUAUUGGACAAUGGGCGCAAGCCUGAUCCAGCCAUGCCGCGUGAGUGAUGAAGGCCUUAGGGUUGUAAAGCUCUUUCGUCCGGGACGAUAAUGACGGUACCGGAAGAAGAAGCCCCGGCUAACUUCGUGCCAGCAGCCGCGGUA
rnacentral:rRNA from 1 species